CUUCUAUGGGAUGAUGUAUAAGUGGAUUUACAUGUUCAUGACUUUGUUUCUAAACCUGUCACACAUUCUCUUUUCAGUAUGUUUCGUCUCUGAAGACAUUUGGUUGUUCGUGUGAAACUCUGGAAUUUUGAUCCUUCGGAUUUGAUUCAUCCCUGAACACAUUUUCGAUGUUUGUGUAGAAUUCACGGGGGAAGUUUGCUCCUUCGGAUGUUGGACUUAAGAGUUAUUGUUUUGCUUGUUAUAUGUUUACUUCUGCUUGCUCUCGCUUUCUGAAAGAGGAAAUGAUGAGGUCACUAUGCCUUAUGUACUUCCUACUCUCUUGUGAUUGGUUCUUUUUUCUAUAUGUUUCUUUGCUGCUGUGUGGAGCUAGUAAAGAGAGAUUAUGCAAAAUACU